rnacentral:rRNA from 1 species
AUUGAACGCUGGCGGCGGGCUUAACACAUGCAAGUCGAACGAGUGGCGGACGGGUGAGUAAUGCUUGGGAAUCUGGCUUAUGGAGGGGGAUAACGACGGGAAACUGUCGCUAAUACCGCGUACCAUAGGAUGAGCCCAAGUGGGAUUAGGUAGUUGGUGGGGUAAUGGCCUACCAAGCCGACGAUCUCUAGCGGGUCUGAGAGGAUGACGGCCCACAUGGGAAUGGGGACAGGCCCAGGACUCCUCCGGGAGGACGCAGUGGGGAAUAGUGGGCAAUGGCGGCAACCGGACGCAUCCAUGCGGGGUGUAGGAAGAAGGCCUUCGGGUUGUAAAGUUCUUUCGUUGACGAGACGGUAACCACAGAAGAAGCACCGGCUAACUCCGUGCCAGCAGCCGCGGUAAUUC